rnacentral:rRNA from 1 species
UACAGAGGGUGCGAGCGUUGUUCGGAAUUAUUGGGCGUAAAGGGCGCGUAGGCGGCUUGCCAAGUCAGGGGUGAAAUCUUUCGGCUCAACCGGAAAAGUGCUUCUGAUACUGGCGGGCUGGAGGAGGGUAGGGGCAGAUGGAACUUCCGGUGGAGCGGUGAAAUGCGUAGAUAUCGGAAGGAACGCCGGUGGCGAAAGCGGCGAUCUGGGAAGAUACUGACGCUGAGGUGCGAAAGCGUGGGGAGCAACAGG